AAAUUUAAAAAUACUGGGAAUGUGAAAGGAAAGUCCUUAGAAUCAGCCAUACCCCAGGGGUCCUUAGAAAAAGUUACAAUUCAUAUAUUUAUUAGGAAGAGAGAUGUAGAAAAAUAAUACCAUUAGAUUCCAUUAUAAUAUUUUCUUGCUUCGUGACUCUGCUCAGUCCUCUUAAGUUUGUUAAAGCUCAGGCUUUCCUUAUGAUCAAAAUAUGGAUGAGACAGAAUCUCGCUUUGUUUCCCAGGCUGGUCUCAAACUCCUGGCUUCAAGUGAUCCUCCCACCUUGGCCUCCCAAAGUGCUGGGAUUACAGGCAUGAGCCACCACACCUGUUCCCUAUUUUUAAUAUCUUAUAACUGAAUGCUUUAAUCCUGCAACUUAAGAUACAUCUUCACUGCUCAUGUGCAGUCACCACCAGCUGAGCCUUCUUGUUCUCCUCCAAGGUGGUGAUGGUGUUAACUCCUGCUCGAAGGACAGGUGGUCUUUUAGUGGGGACGUAACUUAAUAGGCAUAGAAUCACCUGGGGAUCCCACUCAAAAUGCCAGUUCUGAUUCAGGUCUGACAUACCCCGUGAUGCCAAUGCUGCAGACUGUAAUUUGAGAAGUAAGGGCCUCAGUGAGCUCCACAAUUAUAUAAAAAAUAGUAACAAAACAACACCUGUGAGUCCAAGUCCUGAGUCAGUCUCAUCAUUCUCACACUCAGCAGACUUAACUGGAAACUAAAAGCCAUCUGUUAUGAACCUCUUCAUCAAUGUUUGCCUUUUCCAAUAAUUUUCCUCUCCUGAAUCUUUUCUCCCUUUUCUUCCCUAGGUUACUUAAAAAGAAAUUUUUUUUUAAAUUAUAAAAUAGAGACAGGAUCAGGUUGGUCUUGAACUCUUUGCCUCUAUCAGUCCUCUUGCCUUGGCCUCUCAAGGUGCUAGGAUUACAGGCAUCAGCCACUACUCCUGGCCCUAGGUUACUUUUUCUACCUACAUCCACGCUGUUCCUUCUUUCUGAAUUGGGAUCUUGUUCUCAGUUAAUCCCUUUCCUCCAGCUCUUUCCCAUUUACUUACAAAUACCUUUAGGCUCUGACUGGACAAAACUGUGCUUUCCCAGGGAUAGUUUCAUAGCAACAUUCUCAAAAGAAGGCACCAUCUCUGCCAUUGGUUUCUUUCCAAUUCCACAUUUGCAGCUGACCAACUUCACCUGAGACACUCAAACUGAACCACUUUGAAAACAGCUUAUUCAUAAUAGUGUAAUUGACAAUAAUGAAAUUGGAAGUAACUAUUCAAAAUAAGGGAAGAAGUAAAUAACUGUAAUUUAAUUUUUUAUUUUUUGAGACAGGGUCCUGCUGUCACCCAGGCUGAUGUGCAGCAGUGUGAUCAUGACUCACUGCUCCUGGACUCAAGCAAUCCUCCUGCCUCAGCCUCCUGAGUAGCUGGUACUACUGGCGCACUCUACCACCCCCAGAUAAUUUUCUAACUUAUUUGUAAAUUAAAAAAAAAUUUUUUUUUUUACAGACAGGGUCUCACUAUGUUUCCCAGGCUGGUCCUGAACUCCUGGCCUCAAGCAAUCCACUUAUCUCGGCCUUCCAAAGCGCUGGGAUUACAGGAUGAGCCAUUGCACCUAACCUAAACGUAACUUUUAACGUUGCAAUGAUUAAAAUGAUACUUUGCACUUUGGGAGGUCAAGGCAGGAGGAUUUCUUGCAUCUAGGAGCUCAAGACCAGCCUGGGAAGCAUGGUGAGAUUCCCCCCAUCUCUACAAAAAAGACAAAAAUUAGCUGGGCACGGUGGCAUGUGCCUGUCGUCUCAGCUACUCAGGAGGUUGAGGUAGGAGGAUUGCUUGAGCCUGGGAGGCACAGGUUGCAGUGAGCCAAGAUCGAGCCACUGCACUCCAGCCUGGGCAACAGAGUGAGACCCACACAGCCUGGGCAACAGAGUGAGACCCCACAGGGUCAGGCUGGAGUGCAAAGGAAAGAUCUCAGCUCACUGCAACCUCUGCCUCCUGGGCUCAAGCGGUUCUCCUGCCUCAGCCUCCUGAGUAGCUGGGACUACAGGCGUGCACCACCACACCCAGCUAAUUUUUUGUAUUUUUUAGUGGAGUCAGGGUUUCACCAUGUUGGCCAGGCUGGUGUCAAACUCCUGACCUCAGGUGUUCACUCACCUUGGCCUCCCAAAGUGCUGGGAUUACAGGCGUGAGCCACCGUGCCCCACCGAUACUUUGUACAUUGGCAUAGAAUCAAUGAAAAAGCAGCUCCAAAAUAGUAUGUCUAGUAAGAUCCCAUUUUUUAAAUGAAGGAAAGAAAAUACUUGGCUGGUCAGGUGUGGUGGCUCACACCUGUAAUCCUAACACUUCGGGAGGCUGAGGUGGGAGAAUCUUUUGAGCCCAGGAGUACGAGACCAGCCUGGGCAACACAGGGAGACCCUAUCUCUACAAAAAAAAAAAAAAAGAGAGAGAAAGAGAAAAAAUACUUGGAGGAAAAUGUCUGGAAGGAAUAACAUUUCAUUGAUUCCACAAUGUCAAUAGGUAUCUCUGGAUGUUGGGUUGUGGAUGAUUUUUACUUCAUCUUCUUCACAGUCUAAAAUUUUUGCAAUAGGUGUAAUAGGAUGUUAGACUAGAACUCUUUUUUUUUUUUUUUUUUUAGGAGAUGGGGUCUCACUCUGUUGCCCAGGCUGGAGUGCCGUGAUGCAAUCAUAGCUCACUGCAGCCUCGACCUCCUGGGCUCAAGCAAUUAUCCUGCCUCAGCCUCCCAAGUAACUGGGACCGCUGGCACACACCCUAUAAGGUGGACACCACCACACCUGGUUAAUUUAUUUUUUGUAGAUAAAGGGUUUUGCCAUGUUGCCCAAGCUGGUCUCAAACUCCUGGGCUCAAGCAAUCCUCCCAACUCGGCCUCCCAAAGUGCUAGGAUUAUAGAUAGGCAUGAGCCACCAUGUCCAGCCUUUACAAAUUUUUUGCAGAUAAUCUCUUCUUUCCAUUCCUAUUGCUGCUUACCCCAGUUCAGGCCUUCAAAAACUUUCACUUGGUCUAUUAUCAAUAGCCUCCUGGCUGAUGUCCCCAAUGACAGUUCCUCAUAAAUACAGCUACAAGGUUUAUCUUCCCAAAGCAUAAUUCUAGUCUUGCCACUCUCCUUGCUCAAAAACAUUAAAUGUCUCCCCGUAGCCUUCCAACUAGAUAGAGCAUAAAUUCCUUAGCUUAGUAUCCAAGGCCAGCUCCUUUCAUUUGUACCCUAAUCCAAAACAUUUUUUGAGUCAUACUUAGGUUAGGCUAUUGCCUAGCUUGCCCUAAACACAGGAUCUUUUUUCUUCCUCUGCUUGUUUAUGCCACUCCCAUUCCAUGUUGCAUUGUGGUGCCUCCCAUAUUGCUCCUAACAUUGCUCUUAACACACCUGUUAAGAGUUCUCCCUGUUCUAAGCUGAGCUUGGACAUGCAUCUUCCAACAGGUAGUCUUACAUUCCCUUUGGCCCGUGAGCAUAUAAGGUCAUUUUCUCAUCUGUGCUGCUCUGUUACACAUUUCCUUGUGUAUUACGGACUACCUCAUGUUAGCUUUGCUUUCAUUCAUGUUUCAUCUCCAUGGAACUCUGGUGGGGACGCUGUCGGGUUCAUCUGUGUGUCUCCCAGAGCAGCUAGCCCAGCUUCUUGCCCAAAGAGGGAGCUCAGUAAAUGUUGAAUUACUUUGGAGAAUUUGUUUGAAAAUAUCUUCCUGAUUUUUACCUCUAAUGCCUACUUCUCCUUUAAGUGAAUACCCCUCUUGCUCCUUGGUCUUUUGUGUGUGAGCUGGCUAAGUGGGAACUUAAUCUGUGGUGUCUGAUGCCUCACUGAUCCUCAAAAAAACAGUAACUUCUCAGUGCCAUCCUCUAUAAUCAUAUGAUAUCUUCAGUCACUUAAGCCCAGGAGUUCAAGACCAGCCUGGGCAAUAUAGUGAGACAUUAUCUCUACAAAAAACUUAAAAAUCAGCCAAGCAUGGUGGUGCAUGCCUGUAGUCCCAGCUACUUGGGAGGCUGAAGUGGGAGGAUCGCCUGGGAGGCAGAGGUUGCAGUGAGCCAAGAUCGUGCCACUGCACUCUAGCCAGAGUGACAGAGCAAAACUCUAUCUCAAAAAAAACAAAAAACAAAAAAAAAAACCGUAGCACACUCUUGCUUUUCUAUCAAUAACUGGACUCUCAAGAACUGGUUUCUAAAUUAGUGACUGAAAAUAUUGGUCAAAAUGAUCAGAAACCUCAUUCAUUUGCAUUUUCUCUCUCCCUCUCUCCAAUUACCCUCAAGAGAAUUUGGUUCAUUCUGAGCAUCACAGAUGACUUAAUUUUGCAGUGGCGUGAUCAUAGCUCACUGCAACCUGGAUCUCCUGGGCUCAAGCCAUCCUCCCACCUUAGCCCCCCGAGUAGCUGGGACUACUGGCGCGCGCCACCACGCACAGCUAAUUUUAUUUUUUGUAGAGACGGGGCCUUCCUAUGUUGGCCAGGCUGGAGUUAGGCUUUCUUUCUUUUUUUUUUGACCCCAUCUCUAAAAAAUUGUUUUAAAUUAGGCAUGGUGAUACCCACCUGUAGUCUCAGCUGCUCAGGAGACUGAAGUGGGAGGGUCUGAAUCAGAAGUUUGAGGCUGUGGUGAGCUAUGAUUGUGCCACUGCACUCAGCCUGGGUGACAGAGCAAGAUGCUGUCUCUUGCUCAAUAAUGAUAAUAAUGAUAAAACCAGUUAAAUCCAAGCCAUAUUUGAAGAUUUCUUUUCUUUUGUUUCUUUUUUUUUUUUUUGAAAUGGGGUCUUGCUCUGUUGCCCAGGCUGGAGUACGGUGGUGUGAGCACGGCUCACUGCAGCCUCGACCUCCUGGGCUCAAGUGAUCCUCUUGCCUCAGCCUCCCAAGGAACUGGGACCACAGGUGUACCACCAUGCCUAGCUAACAUUUUUUUGUAGAGACAGGGUCUUGCCAUGUUGCCCAGGCUGGCCUGGGACUCCGGGGCUCAAGCAGUCCUCCCACCUUGGCUUCCCAAAUUGCUAGGAUUACAGAUGUGAGCCACUGCACCCAGCUGAGGAUUUCCUUUAAGGUGAUUUUUCUAGAAUCAUUUUUGCUCUGUUCUUUUGUUCUCUCUUAAAUAGUUAGCCAUUUAGAAAUAUUUGAUGAUUUAUUACAGUUUCUAUUAAAAGAGAUUCUUUAGCCUGAUAGGCAGUAGCUUUCUUAGCUGGUCGUCAUCACCUGUGGCUUUUUGAACAGAUGAGGCCUUGGCUCAGACUCAGUGCCCAGAGUGACACUCGAAGACAGAAUUUUGAAAUAAUCUGUUAUAUGUCAAAAUGUAAAUAAUGAUUGGGAUUAUGAAUAAUUAUUUAAAAGUUAUCUUCUGUGUUUUCAUAUUUUCUACCAUGAGCAUGUAUUGAUUUUUGUUGCUUUUCCCCUGAUUACAAAAUAUGUGCCCAGGCCAGGAACAGUGGCUCAUGCCUGUAAUCCUAAGGUGGGAGGAUCACUUGAGCCAGAGUUUGAGACCAGCCUGGGCGACAUAGCAAGACCCCAUAUCUAUUUUUAACUAAAAAUAAAAUAAACAGGCCAGGCAUGGUGGCUCAUCCCUGUAAUCCCAUCACUUUGGGAGU
rnacentral:lncRNA from 1 species